CCUACGGGUGGCAGCAGUGAGGAAUAUUGCGCAAUGGGCGAAAGCCUGACGCAGCAACGCCGCGUGAUCGAGACGCCCUUCGGGGUGUAAAGAUCUGUCAGUGGGGACGAAACUUGACGGUACCCACAGAGGAAGCACCGGCUAACUCCGUGCCAGCAGCCGCGGUAAUACGGGGGGUGCAAGCGUUGUCCGGAAUCAUUGGGCGUAAAGAGUUCGUAGGCGGCACGUAAAGUCUGGUGUUAAAGGCAGAGGCUCAACUUCUGUACGGCACAUGAUACUGCGAGACUAGAGUAAUGGAGGGGGAACCGGAAUUCUCGGUGUAGCAGUGAAAUGCGUAGAUAUCGAGAGGAACACUCGUGGCGAAGGCGGGUUCCUGGACAUUAACUGACGCUGAGGCACGAAGGUCAGGGGAGCGAAAGGGAUUAGAUACCCUUGUAGUC
rnacentral:rRNA from 1 species